UUUUGCAAAUUCCCCAUUUUACAGUACAUUGAAAAUGCUCUAAUUCUUCCUCUCAUCCGCUCUCCGACUGCCUCCUAUCGCGUAUCGCCGCCGCCGAGAAUUUCCUCCAACUCAUACACAGGAUUCUAGCUCUCUCCCCAAUAGGCAUCAUCAGCAGUCAACUUGCGUAAAAAAAAAAAAUUCUUUUGUACACUGUUGUUCAUACUUAUUCUCGACUUGGUAGGCGAUUGAUAAU